GUGGGUAUGGGAAAGUUUGGUAAUCCGUCUGCUUUGGGAGCAGAAGAACGUCGGUUCAAAUCCGGCUGCCCGCAC
rnacentral:tRNA from 2 species